GGGAAGGAAUCAAAUCCCUUGGCAGUGAAACUUUAUUUGGAGGCUUGAUUUUCAAGGAUCGAACAAGAUUCUUUGGCAAUGGAACAUUAAAUGGAGAGAGGAGAGAGAAUGAAUCAAAUCACUUGGCAGUGGAACUUUAUUUGCAAGCUUGGUUUUUAAGGAUCGAACAAGAUUCUUUCGUAGUGGAACAUUAAAAGGAGAGAGUAGAGAGAAGGAAUCAAAUCACUUGGCAGUGUAACUUUAUUUGGAGGCAUGUUUCCAAGGAUCCAACAAGAUUCUUUGGUAGUGGAACUUUAAAUGGAGAGAGGAGAGAGAAGGAAUCAAAUCACUUGUUAAUGGAACUUUAUUUGGAGGCUUGAUUUUCAACGAUCAAGCAAGAUUCUUUAGCAGUGGAACUUUAAAUGGAGAGAUGAGAGAGAAUGAAUCAAAUCACUUGGCAGUGGAACAGUAUUUGGAGGCAUGGUUUUCAAAGAUCGAACAAGAUUCUUUGGCAGUGGAACUUCAAUUGGAGAGAAGAGGGAGAAUGAAUCGAAUCACUUGGCAGUGGAACUUUAAAUGGAGAGAGUAAAGAGAAGGAAUCAAAUCACUUGGCAGUGGAACUUUAUUUGAAGGCUUGGUUUUUAAGGAUCGAACAAGAUUCUCUGGCAGUAGAACUUUAAAUGGAGAAAGAGAGAGAAGGAAUCAAAUCACUUGAUAAUGGAACUUUAUUUGCAGGCUUGGUUUUUAAGAAUCGAACAAAAUUCUUUCGUAGUGGAACUUUCAAUGGAGAGAGUAGAGAAUGAAUCAAAUCACUUGGCAGUGGAACUUUAUUUGGAGGCUUGGUUUUCAACGAUCAAACAAGAUUGUUUGGUAGUGGAACUUUAAAUGGAGAGAGGAGAGAGAAGGAAUCAAAUCACUUGGCAAUGGAACUUUAAAUGGAGAGAGUAAAGAGAAGGAAUCAAAACACUUGGUAGUGGAACUUUAUUUGGAGGCUUGGUUUUGAACGAUCAAACAAGAUUCUUUGGUAGUGGAACUUUGAAUUGAAAGAGGAGAGAGAAUCAAUGAAAUCACUUGGCAGUUGAACAAUAAAUGGAGAGAGUAGAGAUAAUGAAUCAAAUCACUUGGCAGUGGAACUUUAUUUGGAGGCUUGGUUUUCAACGAUCAAACAAGAUUCUUUGGUAGUGGAACUUUAAAUGGAGAGAGGAGAGAGAAGGAAUCAAAUCACUUGGCAGUGGAACUUUAAAUGGAAAGAGUAAAGAGAAGGAAUCAAAUCACUUGGCAGUGGAACUUUAUUUGGAGGCUUGGUUUUCAAGGAUCGAACAAGAUUCUUUGGCAGUAGAACUUUAAAUGGAGAAAGGAGAGAGAAAGAAUCAAAUCACUUGGCUGUGGAACUUUAUUUGCAGGCUUGGUUUUUAAGGAUCGAAAAAAGUUCUUUCGUAGUGGAACUUUCAAUGGAGAAAGUAGAGAGAAGGAAUCAAAUCACUUGACAAUGGAACUUUAUUUGGAGGCUUGGUUUCCAACGAUCAAACAAGAUUCUUUGGUAGUGGAACAUUAAAUGGAGAGAGGAGAGAGAAGGAAUCAAAUCACUUGUUAGUGGAACUUUAUUUGGAGGCUUGGUUUUCAAGGAUCGAACAAGAUUAUUUGACAGUGGAACUUAAAUGGAGAGAGGAAAGAGAAAGAAUCAAAUCACUUGGCAGUGGAACUUUAAUUGGAAGUUUGGUUUUCAAGGAUCGAACAAGAUUCUUUGGCAGUGGAAUUUUAAAUGGAGAGAGGAGAGAGAAUGAAUCAAAUCACUUGGCAGUGGAACUUUAAAUGGAGAGAGUAAAGAGAAGGAAUGAAUCAAAUCACUUGGCAGUGGAACUUUAUUUGGAGGCUUGGUUUUCAAGGAUCGAACAAGAUUCUUUGGCAAUGGAACUUUAAAUGGAAAGAGUAGAGGGAAGGAAUCAAAUCACUUGGCAGUGGAACUUUAUUUGGAGCCCUAGUUUUUAAGGAUCGAAAAUGAUUCUUUGGCAAUUGAACUUUAAAUGGAGAGAUGAGAGAAGGAAUCAAAUCACUUGGCAUUGCAACUUUAUUUGGAGGCUUGGUUUUCAAGGAUCGAACAAGAUUUUUUGGUAGUGGAACUUUAAAUAGAGAGAGUGGAGAGAAGGAAUCAAAUCACUUGGCAGUGAAACUUUAUUUGGAGGCUUGGUUUUCAAGGAUCGAACAAUAUUCUUUGGCAGUAGAACUUUAAAUGGAGAGAGGAGAGAGAAGGAAUUAAGUCACUUGCAUUGGAACUUUAUUUGGAGGCUUGUUUUUCAAAGAUCGAACAUGAUUCUUUUGUAGUGGAACCUUAAAUGGAGAAAGUAGAGAUAAGGAAUCAAAUCACUUGGUAAUGGAACUUUAUUUGGAGGCUUGGAGGCUUCGUUUUCAAGGAUUGAACAAGAUUCUUUGAUACUGGAACUUUAAAUGUAGAGAUGAGAGAGAAGGAAUCAAAUCACUUGGUAGUGGAACUUUAUUUGGAGGCUUGGUUUUCAAGGAUUGAACAAGAUUCUUUGGCAGUGGAACUUUAAAUGGAGAGAUGAGAUAGAAGGAAUCAAAUCACUUGGCAGUGACACUUUAUUUGGAAGCUUGGUUUUCAAGAAUCGAACAAGAUUCUUUAGCAGUGGAACAUUAAAUGGAGAGAUGAGAGCGAAGGAAACAAAUCACUUGGCAGUGGAACUUUAAAUGGAGAGAGUAGAGAGAAGGGAUCAAAUAACUUGGCAGUGGAACUUUAUUUGGAGGCUUGGUUUUCAACGAUCAAACAAGAUUCUCUGGUAGUGGAACUUUAAAUGGAGAGAGGAGAGAAAAGGAAUCAAAUCACUUGUUAGUGGAACUUUAUUUGGAUGCUUGGUUUUUAAGGAUCGAACAAGAUUAUUUGGCAGUGGAACUUAAAUGGAGAGAGGAAAUAGAAGGAAUCAAAUCACUUGGAAAUGGAACUUUAUUUGGAAGUUUGUUUUUCAAGGAUCGAACAAGAUUAUUUGGCAAUGGAACUUUACAUGGAGAUAGGAGAGAGAAUGAAUCAAAUCACUUGGCAAUAGAACUUUAAAUGGAGAGAGUAAAGAGAAGGAAUCAAAUCAUUUGGCAGUGGAACUUUAUUUGGUGGCUUGGUUUUCAAGGAUCGAAAAAGAUUCUUUGGAAAUUGAACUUUAAAUGGAGAGAUGAGAGAGACGGAAUCAAACCACUUGGCAGUGGAACUUUAUUUGGAAGUUUGGUUUUCAAGGAUCGAACAAGAUUCUUUGCCAGUGGAACUUUAAAUGGAGAGAGGAGAGAGAAUGAAUCAACUCACUUGGCAGUGGAACUUGAAAUGUAGAGAGUAGAGGGAAGGAAUCAAAUCACUUGGCAGUGGAACUUUAUUU
rnacentral:lncRNA from 1 species